ACUAUCAAGCCUUAAAAACACACAUGCACCGGCACAUGGUCCCGGGUGCCGCUGGCAGCGUUUAACGCGGUCAACGGUCGGAUCCAUGGGGUGCGUGGAGGCCUAAC
rnacentral:sRNA from 13 species